rnacentral:rRNA from 1 species
UACGUAGGUUGCGAGCGUUGUCCGGAAUUAUUGGGCGUAAAGGGCUCGUAGGCGGUUUGUCGCGUCGGGAGUGAAAUCCACUGGCUUAACUGGUGGCUUGCUUUCGAUACGGGCAGACUGGAGGUAUGCAGGGGAGAACGGAAUUCCUGGUGUAGCGGUGAAAUGCGCAGAUAUCAGGAGGAACACCGGUGGCGAAGGCGGUUCUCUGGGCAUGUCCUGACGCUGAGGAGCGAAAGUGUGGGGAGCGAACAGG